AGGAGACAUGUCGCUCAGUCUUUGAGGACUGCCUGAAAUGGCCUCUUAAGAACUGGGAAAGAAACAAGAGUGAAACGGCAGCAUGCCGAGUCUACAGAGACAGCUCUUCGGCUGGGGAUGUUGGUCUGUAAAAGGAGACAAAAAGAGAUCCAAGCAUGCAUCCAUCAAAGGCAGGAGGUCAGAGUUAUAAGUAGGGCCUGAGCACCACAGUACGAGGACCCUCUUGGAAUUGCUGCGUUUUUAAUUCUAUUACAGUUUGAAAUAAGUUUUCAUUUUUUUGAUGUAUUUAAAAGAGUAAUGGAUUCCUUAUUUGAGGCCAAAGCUGAUUUUUCAGAAGCCAUUACUUUGAGUUUUCAGUGUCACAUGAUCCAUCAGAAAUCAUUCUAAUACCGGUAUGCUAAUUUGGUGUUUUAGAAAUAUUUCUUCUUAUUAUCAAUGUUUAAAACAGUAUGUUUGUGAAACAUUCACUUUUAAACAGUAGUGUAUUAAUAUAAUAUUGAUGUUAAGCAUAACAACUAUCCCUGCUCUGUUCUUCUUUGCUUAUUCAGAUUGAAUGUUUAGUUAUUCUGACAGUAUGGGCAUGACUGUGGUUAGCUAAAGAUAAAGCAAAGGCAAACUGA